CGGGACGGGUGAGUAACGCGUGGGUAACCUGCCUUGUACUGGGGGACAACAGCUAGAAAUGACUGCUAAUACCGCAUAAGCGCACAGUAUCGCAUGAUACAGUGUGAAAAACUCCGGUGGUACAAGAUGGACCCGCGUCUGAUUAGCUAGUUGGUAAGGUAACGGCUUACCAAGGCGACGAUCAGUAGCCGACCUGAGAGGGUGACCGGCCACAUUGGGACUGAGACACGGCCCAA
rnacentral:rRNA from 1 species